UACGUAGGUGGCAAGCGUUGUCCGGAGUUAUUGGGCGUAAAGCGCGCGCAGGCGGUGCGGUAAGUCUCUGGUGAAAGCGCUCGGCUUAACUGGGCGAGGGCCGGGGAGACUGCCACGCUGGAGGGGAGCAGAGGCGAGUGGAAUUCCGGGUGUAGUGGUGAAAUGCGUAGAGAUCCGGAGGAACACCAGUGGCGAAGGGCGGCUCGCUGGGCUCUACCUGACGCU
rnacentral:rRNA from 1 species